rnacentral:tRNA from 1 species
GAGCACAUGGCUCAUUAGUCAUGGGCAUUAAGCCAGUAACCGAAAGGUCGCUGGUUCAAACCCUGCUGUGGUCA